GAUGAACGCUGGCGGCGUGCCUAAUAUAUGCAAGUCGAGCGAACGGACGAGAAGCUUGCUUCUCUGAUGUUAGCGGCGGACGGGUGAGUAACACGUGGAUAACCUACCUAUAAGACUGGGAUAACUUCGGGAAACCGGAGCUAAUACCGGAUAAUAUUUUGAACCGCAUGGUUCAAAAGUGAAAGACGGUCUUGCUGUCACUUAUAGAUGGAUCCGCGCUGCAUUAGCUAGUUGGUAAGGUAACGGCUUACCAAGGCAACGAUGCAUAGCCGACCUGAGAGGGUGAUCGGCCACACUGGAACUGAGACACGGUCCAGACUCCUACGGGAGGCAGCAGUAGGGAAUCUUCCGCAAUGGGCGAAAGCCUGACGGAGCAACGCCGCGUGAGUGAUGAAGGUCUUCGGAUCGUAAAACUCUGUUAUUAGGGAAGAACAUAUGUGUAAGUAACUGUGCACAUCUUGACGGUACCUAAUCAGAAAGCCACGGCUAACUACGUGCCAGCAGCCGCGGUAAUACGUAGGUGGCAAGCGUUAUCCGGAAUUAUUGGGCGUAAAGCGCGCGUAGGCGGUUUUUUAAGUCUGAUGUGAAAGCCCACGGCUCAACCGUGGAGGGUCAUUGGAAACUGGAAAACUUGAGUGCAGAAGAGGAAAGUGGAAUUCCAUGUGUAGCGGUGAAAUGCGCAGAGAUAUGGAGGAACACCAGUGGCGAAGGCGACUUUCUGGUCUGUAACUGACGCUGAUGUGCGAAAGCGUGGGGAUCAAACAGGAUUAGAUACCCUGGUAGUCCACGCCGUAAACGAUGAGUGCUAAGUGUUAGGGGGUUUCCGCCCCUUAGUGCUGCAGCUAACGCAUUAAGCACUCCGCCUGGGGAGUACGACCGCAAGGUUGAAACUCAAAGGAAUUGACGGGGACCCGCACAAGCGGUGGAGCAUGUGGUUUAAUUCGAAGCAACGCGAAGAACCUUACCAAAUCUUGACAUCCUUUGACAACUCUAGAGAUAGAGCCUUCCCCUUCGGGGGACAAAGUGACAGGUGGUGCAUGGUUGUCGUCAGCUCGUGUCGUGAGAUGUUGGGUUAAGUCCCGCAACGAGCGCAACCCUUAAGCUUAGUUGCCAUCAUUAAGUUGGGCACUCUAAGUUGACUGCCGGUGACAAACCGGGGGAAGGUGGGGAUGACGUCAAAUCAUCAUGCCCCUUAUGAUUUGGGCUACACACGUGCUACAAUGGACAAUACAAAGGGCAGCGAAACCGCGAGGUCAAGCAAAUCCCAUAAAGUUGUUCUCAGUUCGGAUUGUAGUCUGCAACUCGACUACAUGAAGCUGGAAUCGCUAGUAAUCGUAGAUCAGCAUGCUACGGUGAAUACGUUCCCGGGUCU
rnacentral:rRNA from 1 species